rnacentral:rRNA from 1 species
UACGAAGGGGGCUAGCGUUGUUCGGAUUUACUGGGCGUAAAGCGCACGUAGGCGGAUCGUUAAGUCGGGGGUGAAAUCCUGGAGCUCAACUCCAGAACUGCCUUCGAUACUGGCGAUCUUGAGUCCGGAAGAGGUGAGUGGAACUCCUAGUGUAGAGGUGGAAUUCGUAGAUAUUAGGAAGAACACCAGUGGCGAAGGCGGCUCACUGGUCCGGUUCUGACGCUGAGGCGCGAAAGCGUGGGGAGCAAACAGG